CCUACGGGAGGCAGCAGUGGGGAAUAUUGGACAAUGGGCGAAAGCCUGAUCCAGCAAUGCCGCGUGAGUGAUGAAGGCCUUAGGGUUGCAAAGCUCUUUUGCCAGGGAUGAUAAUGACAGUACCUGGAGAAUAAGCUCCGGCUAACUCCGUGCCAGCAGCCGCGGUAAU
rnacentral:rRNA from 1 species